AGUGAACGCUGGCGGUAGGCCUAACACAUGCAAGUCGAACGGCAGCACAGUAAGAGCUUGCUCUUACGGGUGGCGAGUGGCGGACGGGUGAGGAAUACAUCGGAAUCUACUUUUUCGUGGGGGAUAACGUAGGUAAACUUACGCUAAUACCGCAUACGACCUACGGGUGAAAGCAGGGGAUCUUCGGACCUUGCGCGAUUGAAUGAGCCGAUGUCGGAUUAGCUAGUUGGCGGGGUAAAGGCCCACCAAGGCGACGAUCCGUAGCUGGUCUGAGAGGAUGGUCGGCCACACUGGAACUGAGACACGGUCCAGACUCCUACGGGAGGCAGCAGUGGGGAAUAUUGGACAAUGGGCGCAAGCCUGAUCCAGCCAUACCGCGUGGGUGAAGAAGGCCUUCGGGUUGUAAAGCCCUUUUGUUGGGAAAGAAAAGCAGCAGGUUAAUACCCAGCUGUUCUGACGGUACCCAAAGAAUAAGCACCGGCUAACUUCGUG
rnacentral:rRNA from 1 species